UACGAAGGGGGCUAGCGUUGUUCGGAAUUACUGGGCGUAAAGGGCGCGUAGGCGGUGUGUCAAGUCAGGCGUGAAAGCCCCGGGCUCAACCUGGGAACAGCGCUUGAGACUGGCACGCUCGAGUUCGGGAGAGGAUGGUGGAAUUCCCAGUGUAGAGGUGAAAUUCGUAGAUAUUGGGAAGAACACCGAUGGGCGAAGGCAGCCAUCUGGACCGACACUGACGCUGAGGCGCGAAAGCGUGGGGAGCAAACAGG
rnacentral:rRNA from 1 species